rnacentral:lncRNA from 1 species
GUUUACUGGAGGCUUAGCCAAAGCUUUUCCCUUCUCAGUUUUCAGUGCCCCAGAUUCCCAAGACAGAUGAGCAGGAGGAAUGAAUCCAAACUUCUAGAAACAGCUCAUCUUCCCUUGUGCUUGCAGCACUGGGUGCUUGGUGUGGGCUGGUGGGGUGUGUGUGUGUGUGUGUGGUGUGUGUGUGUGUGUGCGCAGGAAUAUGCAGACCUCAGGGUUUCUAAGUGCCCGGCCAUGGUCUGGUCUUGAUUAGGCAGGCGGAGGGAAGUGGGUCCACAGCAGCGAUCAGAGCUGCUGCAUCCAGCUGUGAGGCUGCAGAGCCAGAAACGCGUGCGACCUGAAAGGGAACACAUUUCUAGAGGGCCUCGGGCCAAGGUGGAGGUGAUGAGGGCAGGAUGUGGAGGCCAGCGGAGGACAAGUGCUGACUGGCAUGGGGAUGCUACGGGUGGGGGGACGGUCAGGAAUUAGCAGCUGAUUUCAAGCGUUGGGAGGAGGUGCGGAGACAAGGAGGCAGCGGCUGGGGUGAUUCCAGAGUAAUUAGGGUGGAAAAUUCUGGAGCAUCCUCGUUGCUUCCCUCAGGACAGAGGCUGCGCGUUUCUCAGCUCUGUCCUGGCAGCGGCUGGCGGAGCAUGUGUGGGCUUCAUUGAAUACGCUGCCCGAGUGUCUUGCAGCUUUUCCCAGGCGUCUUCUGUGUCUCCCUGUCCCCACGGCUGCAACUUCGACAACUGAGUUCUCUUGCUCUGGCUGCAUUUCAGGACAAGAGCAUGCCUGCCUGAGGUGCCUAGAAUCCUGGCUGGACCCCAAACACUGCAGACUACUUGGUUUCUGUCCAAGGACAGCCCCAAUGGCCUGGACAGGCCUUUUUUCAUCGAGAACAUGGAGUAAACCCGUGGAGAAACCCCAAACUCCGAGACCAGAUCUGGAAAGAACUUUCUUGGCCCAAACACACCCUUGGAUCAUCUCCAUUUCAUCCUCACGGCGUCAGCGUCCUUAUUUCCUUGUCUGUAAACGGAAGCAAAGUUGGACAGAGGUGUCUGUGACCUUGGACCCAGGGCGAUUUGGCCUCUAUUCCAGGAACUGCAGCUCUCUCUCCAGGAGGUGA